ACGUGACAAACACUGAAACCUGCCUAAAGCAAAUAGAUUCCAAGGGGCUACAGAGCAACGAGUCUUGUGAAAUCCCGCCUGACCCCCCAAGCGUCCCCUUCGCAUCUUUUAGCCAGCCGCUGCGCUGACUUGGAUGCUUUUCCAGACACUAGAGAGCUUGCUGUGGUGACAAAGAAGAGCUUAUGUGAGCACACAGUGAUAUAGCAGCCUCCUACCAGCCAAGAGAAGAAGCCUAAGAAUGACAUCUACUUUGCCAGCACGUUCAUCUUGGACUUCCCAGCCUCCAGAACUGUGAGAACCCACCCGAAUACCUCAGGAUAAUUUCCCCAUUUCAAGAUCUUUAAUUACAAUUGCAAAGAUUCCAUGGCAACGGAUGCAGCAGAUCCAGAACCACGACUUCCGCCCGAAGUGGAGGAGCAGGACGUCAGCGCACUGCCGGUGUCCUGCGCUGGGGAGAGCAGAUGAAGCGCCCCCAGCCGCCUGGAUUUAACGUGUAGGUGCCGCUCCUGGAGCUGUUAACUUCGAGUCUAGCUUGAAUUAUGGGAUUUGGGGGGACCGUUUAACUUAAUUACCACUAGUUUUGAAAUGUCUUUGUGAGUAGGGUUGGCACGGAUGCACCAAUACGGAAGGAGAGGGGUCACUUAUCUGUGUUCCUAUGGAAACUAUUUGAAUAUUUGUUUUAUAUGGAUUUUUAUUUAGUUCACUAAAGAAUGCCCCUCAGCUGCUGGGCAAGCAUUUGUAGCUUGUGCGUCAGCAGAAUGGGCAAAAGCUUAGUGCUGUGACUUGUUUUAAAAAUAAAGUAUCUUGGGGGCACCUGAGUGACUCAGUCGGUUAAGCG